GAUGGUGGAACCCAGUGUUCUAGUAUUAAUGUAUUGAGGUAAACAGGUCAGAGAUGGUGGAACCCAGUGUUCUAGUAUUAAUGUAUUGAGGUAAACAGGUCAGAGAUGGUGGAACCCAGUGUUCUAGUAUUAAUGUAUUGAGGUAAACAGGUCAGAGAUGGUGGAACCCAGUGUUCUAGUAUUAAUGUAUUGAGGUAAACAGGUCAGAGAUGGUGGAACCCAGUGUUCUAGUAUUAAUGUAUUGAGGUAAACAGGUCAGAGAUGGUGGAACCCAGUGUUCUAGUAUUAAUGUAUUGAGGUAAACAGGUCAGAGAUGGUGGAACCCAGUGUUCUAGUAUUAAUGUAUUGAGGUAAACAGGUCAGAGAUGGUGGAACCCAGUGUUCUAGUAUUAAUGUAUUGAGGUAAACAGGUCAGAGAUGGUGGAACCCAGUGUUCUAGUAUUAAUGUAUUGAGGUAAACAGGUCAGAGAUGGUGGAACCCAGUGUUCUAGUAUUAAUGUAUUGAGGUAAACAGGUCAGAGAUGGUGGAACCCAGUGUUCUAGUAUUAAUGUAUUGAGGUAAACAGGUCAGAGAUGGUGGAACCCAGUGUUCUAGUAUUAAUGUAUUGAGGUAAACAGGUCAGAGAUGGUGGAACCCAGUGUUCUAGUAUUAAUAUAUUGAGGAAAACAGGUCAGAGAUGGUGGAACCCAGUGUUCUAGUAUUAAUGUAUUGAGGUAAACAGGUCAGAGAUAAUAAUAAUAUAUGCCAUUUAGCAGACGCUUUUAUCCAAAGCGACUUACAGUCAUGUGUGCAUACAUUCUACGUAUGGGUGGUCCCGGGAAUCGAACCCACUACCCUGGCGUUACAAGCGCCAUGCUCUACCAACUGUGCUACAGA